rnacentral:lncRNA from 9 species
CUCCCUCUGCUGCAGAGUCAUAGCAGUGUGACCAUUCAGCUCUUUCACUGGGGCAAACAUCCACAGACAGGGUUAAAAGUUGCGCUCCCACGGUAACAGUUACACGUCCAAGUGUGUUUUCUGAAGACAUAAAGAGAGUCCUGGUGACAGACUGCCCUUUUUCCAUUCAAGGUCGCAGCUAGAGCCCUGUGAGGCACUGCCACUGGUAAACAUUAGGCUCCCUCCCGUACGUUCCACACCGAACCUGUGUAGACUGAGAUCCAGAUGCGGUGACACCUUUCCUCUGCUUAGAAAGCAAAGGUAGAAGGUUUGGUUUGAGAAGAAGGGGAGGGAAGGGACGGGGCUUAAAGCAACACGAUGGAUUUCCGAGACGGUGUUAAAAUGGGGACGCACGAUAGGAAAUGCUUGCGGUUCCUUGGCUAAAAACCCUGUCCAGCGGUUCUCUCAACAGACUGGCAGCAUCACUCUCUGGAAGAAUGCGAGUCACUGCGUUUGUCUCUUUUCGCAGAGGUGAGAGGAGAGCGCUGGGCUGUGUGUGCCGGGAGGAGGGCUGCGGUUUCUGCGCUGAGGGGUGGG